UACGUAGGGUCCGAGCGUUGUCCGGAAUCAUUGGGCGUAAAGAGCGUGUAGGCGGUCCGGUAAGUCGGCUGUGAAAGUCCAGGGCUCAACCCUGGGAUGCCGGUCGAUACUGCCGGACUAGAGUUCGGAAGAGGCGAGUGGAAUUCCCGGUGUAGCGGUGAAAUGCGCAGAUAUCGGGGAGGAACACCUAUGGCGAAGGCAGCUCGCUGGGACGUUACUGACGCUGAGACGCGAAAGCGUGGGGAGCAAACAGG
rnacentral:rRNA from 1 species